GAUGAACGCUGGCGGCGUGCCUAAUACAUGCAAGUCGAGCGAACGGACGAGAAGCUUGCUUCUCUGAUGUUAGCGGCGGACGGGUGAGUAACACGUGGAUAACCUACCUAUAAGACUGGGAUCACUUCGGGAGACCGGAGCUAAUACCGGAUAAUAUUUUGAACCGCAUGGUUCAAAAGUGAAAGACGGUCUUGCUGUCACUUAUAGAUGGAUCCGCGCUGCAUUAGCUAGUUGGUAAGGUAACGGCUUACCAAGGCAACGAUGCAUAGCCGACCUGAGAGGUGGUUCGGCAAAACUGGAACUGAGAAACGGUCCAGAUUCCUAAGGGAGGAAGAAGAAGGGAAUCUUCGGAAAGGGGGGAAAGCCUGACGGAGAAACGCCGGGGGAGGAAGGAAGGUCUUCAGAUCGAAAAACUCUGUGAUUAGGGAAGAACAGAGGUGGAAGUAACUGUGCACAUCGUGACGGUACCUAAUCAGAAAGCGACGGCUAACUACGUG
rnacentral:rRNA from 1 species